CUCGACUUUAAGGGAGCUGAUCUUGGAAGCCUGAGUCCACGACCGGUCGCUUGCACGUUUCCAGAGUUUCUCAAGCUCUGUGAUGAAGUCAGCUUUCCUUUUGGUGUAUUCCAUGAGACUUUUCCUAUGGAGGUCCCGAAAUCGAGUAGCCUCUGUGGUGACCUCUGAAUGGCUCUCCUUCAGCCGGCGAAGUUCAUCUUCCAGCUUUUUGGAUUUUCUUGUCAACUGACGAACUUUCUUUUGAAGGUCUCGUAUCAUCGACUUCAAGGGAAUACUCUCUGGCAGGGGAAGAGCUUUGACAGGACACUGUCGUUGGAGGACAAGAGCACCAUGACUCAAAUUAACGCCAGAAGAUAAAAAGAAGGAAAAGAAUAUAAAAAAAAAGAGAGGGGGGGAUCCUCCAUAAAGACAAAUCCGGCUUCAUUGAUCAAAUAAACUUCAAGUACAAGAGAAUGAAGGAACAAUCACCACAAAGGAAAAAUACAAAACUAGAGGUUCCGGACCUCUGGGGUAGAAGUAGAGGGGGUCGGCAUCCCCAGAAGAUCGUCAGCGGCGGCCACAGCAGUCGAUGAGGUCCUGGCUAGAAGAGGAACGGUGGCGACAUCAGAUGGUCCAGCUUCAUCAUCGGACGCCUCAUUCAGGAAGCUGAGAUGCAAUUCGGGAAACCUCCCAGCCACCUUCUCUUGGCAGAGCUCGAAUCCCUUGAUGAAGGCGUCCUGGCCGAACUGGACCUUCAGAUCUUCCAUCUCGGAGGAGCCUUUGAACUCCUCCACGGCUCGAGCCCUUGCCUCUGAGACCAGGGAUGGAAUCCACACUUUC
rnacentral:lncRNA from 1 species